rnacentral:rRNA from 1 species
UACGGGGGGAGCAAGCGUUGUUCGGAUUUACUGGGCGUAAAGGGCGCGUAGGCGGUCAGCACAAGUCAAUUGUGAAAUCUCCGAGCUUAACUCGGAAAGGUCAACUGAAACUGUGCGACUAGAGUGCGGAAGGGGCAACUGGAAUUCUUGGUGUAGCGGUGAAAUGCGUAGAUAUCAAGAGGAACACCUGCGGCGAAGGCGGGUUGCUGGGCCGACACUGACGCUGAAGCGCGAAAGCUAGGGGAGCAAACAGG